rnacentral:rRNA from 1 species
UACGAAGGGGGCGAGCGUUGUUCGGAUUUACUGGGCGUAAAGGGCGCGUAGGCGGCUCUUCAAGUCAGGCGUGAAAGCCCCGGGCUCAACCUGGGAAUUGCGCUUGGGACUGAUGGGCUGGAGUUCGGGAGAGGAGCGUGGAAUUCCCAGUGUAGAGGUGAAAUUCGUAGAUAUUGGGAAGAACACCGGUGGCGAAGGCGGCGCUCUGGACCGAGACUGACGCUGAGGCGCGAAAGCGUGGGGAGCAAACAGG